GGGAACUGUGGGCAAGAAGAGAGGCGGGAAAGCCAGAGCCAUCCAAUGCUUGUCUUCUGGUGCCCUCCUCCAGGAAGCCAUUCCUGGUGCCCUGGGCGCUGCUCCCAGCCUUGCUCACCCUGGGUCAUCACCGUUUUUGGAGGGGUCUGUGUCCUCCCCAGACUAUAAGACCCAGAAAAGCAGGGCCUGGAGCUAAGUCACAGUCGUGUCCCCAGCAUCCACUGACACAGAAAAAGCCACAAAGAAACAUGGUAAGAGCGUGGCAGAUAACAUCCACGGUGCUAUCGGGAGGUGACAGGUGACUGACCUCAGCCUUGGUGUUCAAGAAGAUUCCAGAAGCACUGCAUCACCAGUGUCUGACACAAAGCCUGGGACAUGUGGGCUUCCAAGUGGACCUCUCCUGGAUAAAUGACCAUUAAUGAAACAGAGAAGGAGUUGAAGAGCCCCCAGAGGAGUGUGAGUCCCAGGGGUCCCGCCAGCUCCACUCCCACCUUCCAAACCUGUGAAAGUCAGGUGCCUGAGUCGCACAGUCUCUCCCACCCGAAUGCCAUGAGCUGCAGCCUGUCUCUGCAGGAGGGCCAGACAUGCCGUGACAUCACCAGCUCCUCUAGGAAUAUGGGAUACAAGGAGUGGCUGAGAUCGGCUGAUCACCAGCUCACUCCGCUGCAGCCGCCCCAGAGCAAUGGCUCCCCGAAGCCGUGUUCUGGCUGUCUUGGCCGCUUUCUGUUUGUGACUCUCCCUGCCUCCACUCCCCCCACCACCCCAUGAAAUGAUCUCAUUUGGUCAUUUAAACGGAAAACUAAAAAGUUUUAAGUGACUCUAGGAGAGCAGGAGAGAGGCAGGUCUCCCAGCUCAGACCCCGCCCCGGGACGGCCCCACGGAAGAUGCACAUCUGGAUGUAGGCGCUCAAGGCACCGCGCGUGCGCCGAGUGGCCUUGCUCAGCUCCGUCCUUCUGAAACCCGGAAUCCUCAUGUGUCUGGGUCCCGCCCCAUCCUGGCCUCCUACACCACUGGUCCAGAUCCUCCACCUUCCCCCAACGCGAGGUAUUGACAUCAAAGCAUCACCUCAUCUGGCACAAGAAUCUGAAACACAGACCGCACCUUACACCAACGUAGUGAAUCCCUCCUUGGACCUGAGUUCAACAAGCCCAGAGUCGGGGCUCUGGGUUCCCGCCCAAAUGCCACGCAUGCACACAGAUGGCACCUGGCGUCUCCUCAAAGGGACAGGAAUCCCGGGCUUCCCAGAAUCACCAGGUCGAUUUAAAUGGCAUCAGAUGAACUGGAAAAGAAUGAAAGUGCUAUUGCCUAAAGUGAUGAAAUUUUCAGAGGAUGUAUCGGUCCUGUCUGGUGGACAGACGGCCACCAGAGGGAAUGAACCAGUCUUCUCUGAACAUCCAUGAGGAUGAAGAACAGUCACUGAGGUGACGGUACCAAGUCACCGGCCACCUCCCAGGGAUCCUCUCAUCCGGUCCUCACAGCAGCGCUGCAUGGUCGGACCUCAUCACCCACAUUCCACCAAGAGGAAGCUGAAGCCCAGGGCCUUCAUCCACUCAUGUCCUCCAGACCCCUGGCACCCAUCCUGGGCCCCACCCCAUCAUCCAGGCCUUGGGCCUUCGACCUGGGGAGAGUCCCUGUCUCCUCCAUGAGCCGUCCAGGGCCUGAAGAGGUAUCCAAUAAACAAGAAAGCAGAACACAAAGAGCUGUGAUGGAGUGGAUCUUAUGUAGUAAGAAUAAAAUUAUUUUGAGAAAUUACUGGGUCAUGUAUUUACCCACAGAAAAACAGAAGCAAACACACGCGUGCGCGCACACACACACACACACACCACACAGGCUGUCACGUGUCCUCAGCACAAAGUGCCUUGAGAAAGGCCAUUGCUGGCCCCACACUUAUCCUGACUGUGAUCUUGCUGUGAUCAGCACAUCCCAUCAGUGUGGCAACAGGUGUGGCCAGAGUGGGAACCAGGCCUUUUCUUCAGAUUUGCUCUUUGUUCCUGAAUAGCCACCGUCAGAACAGACACCCUCCUAGGAGUCACUUGAUUAAAAAUUUCCUUUUGGAUAUUUAGGUUGAUGUUUUAUCCAUCGGUUAAAGUAUAAAUGUAUAUUUAUUAUAAAAGUGUAAUUAUGGCUCUAAUUAAUGAUUAUGGUGAAUUUUACUAACUAUAGCUAUGAAAAUAUUCCAAUAGAUAAAAACAGUGCUAAAAAUGUACAGUUAAUCCAAGAGUGGUAACUUUAAGUCUUGUAAUUUUUGAUCUAAUAAAUCUUCAUAAAAUAUACAUGAUCAUGAAGUACAUCAGUAGAAUUAAUCCUAAUAUUUACAGCAAUACUUGGCGUGCUGUCUCUCAUAAAAAAUAACAUUAAUAGUAAAAAA
rnacentral:lncRNA from 1 species